UGGCUGAGAGGUUAAAGCGUCUGCCUGCAAUGCAGGAGACCUGGGUUUGAUCCCUG
rnacentral:tRNA from 1 species